rnacentral:rRNA from 1 species
GAUGAACGCUGGCGGCGUGCCUAAUACAUGCAAGUCGAGCGAACAGACGAGGAGCUUGCUCCUCUGACGUUAGCGGCGGACGGGUGAGUAACACGUGGAUAACCUACCUAUAAGACUGGGAUAACUUCGGGAAACCGGAGCUAAUACCGGAUAAUAUAUUGAACCGCAUGGUUCAAUAGUGAAAGACGGUUUUGCUGUCACUUAUAGAUGGAUCCGCGCUGCAUUAGCUAGUUGGUAAGGUAACGGCUUACCAAGGCAACGAUGCGUAGCCGACCUGAGAGGGGGAUCGGCCACACUGGGACUGAGACACGGUCCAGACUCCUACGGGAGGCAGCAGUAGGGAAUCUUCCGCAAUGGGCGAAAGCCUGACGGAGCAACGCCGCGUGAGUGAUGAAGGUCUUCGGAUCGUAAAACUCUGUUAUUAGGGAAGAAAAAAUGUGUAAGUAACUAUGCACGUCAUGACGGUACCUAAUCAGAAAGCCACGGCUAACUACGUG